GAUAAACGCUAGCGGCAUGCCUAACACAUGCAAGUCGAACGAACAUUCUUACUUGUAAGAAUAGUGAGUGGCAAACGGGUGAGUAAUACAUAAGUAACCUGCCCUUAAGACUAGGACAACUAUUUGAAAAGAUAGCUAAUACUGGAUACACUUGCCUAUCAUAAGAUAGGUAAGAAAAGUUUUUUCGCUUAAGGAUGGGCUUAUGCCUGAUUAGCUUGUUGGUAGGGUAAUGGCCUACCAAGGCUUCGAUCAGUAGCUGGUCUGAGAGGACGAACAGCCACACUGGGACUGAGAUACGGCCCAGACUCCUACGGGAGGCAGCAGUGAGGAAUAUUGCGCAAUGGGGGAAACCCUGACGCAGCAAUGCCGCGUGAGCGAUGAAGCCUUUUGGGGUGUAAAGCUCUGUCAAGAGGGAAGAUUAUGACGGUACCUCUAGAGGAAGUCACGGCUAAUUACG
rnacentral:rRNA from 1 species